CAAGCCUAAGUACUCCUACAUGACCGAUAGUGAACCAGUACCGUGAGGGAAAGGUGAAAAGCACCCCGACGAGGGGAGUGAAACAGACCCUGAAACUGGACGCCUACAAGCAGUCGGAGGGCGCAAGCCUGACGGCGUACCUUUUGUAUAAUGGGUCAUCGACUUGGUCUAUCUAGCAAGCUUAAGCCGUUAGGUGUAGGCGCAGCGAAAGCGAGUCUGAAUAGGGCGCAUGAGUUAGAUGGAUCAGACCCGAAACCGAGUGAUCUAGGCAUGGCCAGGUUGAAGGUUGGGUAACACCAACUGGAGGACCGAACCCACAUCCGUUGAAAAGGAUCGGGAUGAGCUGUGCCUAGGGGUGAAAGGCCAAUCAAACUCGGAGAUAGCUGGUUCUCUGCGAAAUCUAUUUAGGUAGAGCGUCAUCCGAAUACCCCCGGGGGUAGAGCACUGGAUGGG
rnacentral:rRNA from 1 species